rnacentral:rRNA from 1 species
UGAAAGUACGUUUUCACCCUCGGGUGACAGGGAGACAGGUGGUGCAUGGUUGUCGUCAGCUCGUGUCGUGAGAUGUUGGGUUAAGUCCCGCAACGAGCGCAACCCUCGACCUUAGUUGCCAGCAUUCAGUUGGGCACUCUAAGGUGACUGCCGGCUAAAAGUCGGAGGAAGGUGGGGAUGACGUCAAAUCAUCAUGCCCCUUAUGACCUGGGCUACACACGUGCUACAAUGGGCGGUACAAAGGGUCGCGAACCCGCGAGGGGGGAGCCAAUCCCAAAAAGCCGCUCCCAGUUCGGAUUGCAGGCUGCAACUCGCCUGCAUGAAGCCGGAAUCGCUAGUAAUCGCGGAAUCAGCAUGCCGCGGUGAAUACGUUCCCGGGCCUU